UGAGAUGAGUCAAUAAUAGCCCUUCAUUGGUUAUCCUUGUUAUCUUUUCUGUUACUUUUCAGUUACUAUGCAGUUAAAUUCUGUUACACAAUUUUCCUCAAUAACUGUUCCGAACCAAAAUCCAUGGGAACCUCCGUCAGACCUUCGCACAAUCCAGACCUCCAAGCCACACAAACCCAGAUCCACUCACCAAGCACCAGCCCGUCUCCGUACGCGUACAAUAUUACGAGAAAACGAAGAAAGAAGGGGAAGAAGAUAUAAUUUUCGGAAAAAAAUUCAAACAACAUUACAGAGAGAAGAGGAAGAAAGACAAGGAAGAAGGAGAAAGAAGAUGAAGAAAGAGGAGAAAGAAGAUGAAGAAAGAGGAGAGAGAAGAAAAAGAAGAUGAAUGAUAGAAAAACACUUAGAAAGGGGGGUUUGAAUAAGUGUAACUUUAAAAACUCUUAAGAUAAAAACAAUGUACACAAUAUUUUUAUCCUGGUUCGUUGUUAACGAAACUACUCCAGUCCACCCCCUUAGAGUGAUUUACCUCAACUGAGGUUUUAAUCCACUAAUCAAUCUUGAUUACAAUGGUUAUCCACUUAGAAACACUCUAAGUCUUCUAGAGUAUACUGAUCACACCUUGAUCACUCUAGGAAAUCAAUACUUAGAAACUUCUAAGUCUUCUAGAGUCUACUGAUCUCAUCACUGAUCACUCUAGGAACCUUUUACAAAUCAAUGUAAAAUAAAUGUUUACAAGAGUAUGAAUUGCUUCUUAGAAAGCUAUAAUCACAACUGUGAUAUUUCUCUUAAGUUCUAAGCUUAACACUCACUAAAUAUUACAAUAGUUUGUGAGGUUGAAGAUGAAGUUCGUAAGUAUUGAUUUCAGCAGCGUUUUGGUAUUCUUGCAAGAGUUGUUUUUUGCUUCUGAUAAGAACUUCAUAUUUAUAGGUGUUUGAGAAGAUGAUUGUUGAAAUGCAUUUAAUGCGUUGCGUGACUGGACAGCUUUGCAUUUAAUGUUUUCAUUGUUUUGUCAACUACCUCGAGCCAUGCUUUUCUCUGCUUUUACUAACUUUGCCUUUUGUAGCUUCUAACGUUCCUUUUGUCAGUCAGAGAUUAGACUUCAUAGCCUGUCAUCUAGUACUAACUUCUGAUCUCAAAUUUUGUGAAUACAACGUUUGAAUAAUCAGAAUCAGAGUUACAGCUUGGUGCAGAGCAUCUUCUUAUCUUCUAACUUUGAAGUGCUUUAGCGUGAUACCAUAAGAACUUCAGUGCUUCUGCUUCUGAUCUCAAGUUCUUCUGAUGCUUCAUAGACCAUGUUCUGAUUCUGCUUGACCAUCUUUUGAUGUCUUGCGAGAGCAUGUUCUGAUGUUGCAAUCCUGAACCUUUUGAGUCAGUGCUUCUUAGCGCUGAAUUGUGCAUACUCCUUAUAUAUUUCCUGAAAUGGAAAAUGCAUAGGAUUAGAGUGCCACAUUGUCUUAUACAAAAUUCAUAUACAUUGUUAUCAUCAAAACAAGAAUAUUGAUCAGAACAAAUCUUGUUCUAACAAUCUCCCCCUUUUUGAUGAUGAUAAAAACAUAUAUAAUUGAUAUGAAUUUGCAAUCAGAAUAUCAGAUGACAAAAGACAAUUACACAGAUAUAACAUAAAACACAUAAUCAGAGUGUGUGAAUAUGUCUCCCCCUGAGAUUAACAAUCUCCCCCUGAAAUAAAUACUAGAAGAAUUUAUAAAUAAAAGACUUCCCUGAGUAUUUUUCAUUUCAGUAGAGACUUUCACUUCGCCUAGAACUUCAGAAUAUUCAGAGCUUUUGCUUCUUGCUUCCAUAGGACAGCUUCAAAGCUUUGAAUUUCUUCUUUGUUGUCAUAGCAUGCUUGAUUGAAUCAGAACAUUCUUGAAUGUAUCAGAGCAUCAUCAGAGCAUCUUUACAUCCUGAAAUGUUUUAGAAACAUACUAGACAAAAAAAAUAUCAGAACAUGAAUGUAUCAGAACAUUCUUGAUAACUAUCAUGUAUCAGAGCAUUCUUAAUGAAUAGCAUUUAUCAGAGCAUUUAAGAUGAAGAAAAUGUAUCAGAGCAUAUUCUCUAACGAGAACAUCAGAGCAUUCUACGAAUGACUAUCAGAACAUUCUUCUUCUUGCUUCUGAUCUUGAAGCUUCACAGCACUAAGCUUGCUUCAAUUUUCCAAGAACAUGCUUCUUUAUAGAAUUGCUUUUCCCAUGUAUUUGCUUCUCAUGUUGAGCUUUUUCAGAAUAUCUUCAAUCCUGCAAAAAAUCUUACAAACAUAGAACUUGCAAAUAAUGUUAGGAAUGUUGAGACUUAAUCCCAGCGACUGAUAAUAUAAAUCAGAUCAAUUAUCAUGUUUCUCCCCCUUUUUGUCAUAACAUCAAAAAGCAUUAAAAGAUUCAGAUGAUAAAAGAAACAGAAAGUGAAGAAGAUAAUAUUUCUUUGAUUAACAAAAUAUCAGAAGUAUAAGAGGAAUAGAAGCAGAUGCAAGAAACAGAUGCAAGAAACAAGAAAACAUCUAAGACCAAGACACACUACGACUAGCCUAGCUUAGAAGCCAUCUUGGCCAGAAGGUUUUGAAUCUCAGCAGUGCUUUUUGUCUGGGUCUUUAUAAAAGAUCUGAACUCAUUGUGAGUUUCCUCAUGCUUGUCCAGACGAGAAGCAAGAUCAGCUUGAUUAUGUUGAAGAGCCUUCAUGGUGUUCAUCAGAACAAAAGGUCCAGCAGAAGAAGCAUCAAAGUUAUUGUCCAGAAGAGGAGUCUCAGCAGCAGCAUCGACCAUGAGAACAUCAGCUUGAAUUUCCUUAAUAGGAGAUUGUAUAUCAGGAUGAUUCUCAGCAUCUUGAGUCUCUGCAUCAGCUUCUGCCUCAGAAGCAUCUUUAGCAAACACAGGAGAAUGGAUUUCAGAAUCUGGAUUCUCUAAAGCCAGAAGAAUUUCAGCCAAGUUCUAAGGAGGUGUAGGAGCAGCAGGUUCUGAUGGGUAUUCAACUUCUGGAUAUACCAUAUUUGGUGCCUUAGCAGAGGGAUUCUCCCUUAACCAGUUGAAUAAGAAUUGAAAGUCGCCAGUCAGAACAUGGAGUUGAGGCUUCCACACAACCAUAGCCAAAGGAUGAACUUCUUCAAGCUCAUCAACAAAUUCCUUCUCUUCAAGAGAUUUCCAGCUCUUGAUGGGAUGAUAGUACUUACCAUCAUCUAACUCCAAGGAGUAACCAGAAGAUCCAGGAGCUACAACUAAACAUCUCUUUUGCAUAUUCAGAAGAUCAGUCUGAAUAUUCUUCUUAAAAAUCUUCCACAACCUAUUAACAACAACAAGAUCAAUCUCAGAGUCAUAAGCAGCUCUCAGAGUAUCUAACCUUGUUCUGAAUUUAUAGUUAAUCAAGUCAUAACAAGAAUCGAUAGAGGGUUCAGAAGGAUUGAAGGUGAAUUGAUAAUCAGGGUAAAGAAGACUAUAUGGUUUAGAUUCUCUUGAGAAUAAAGCAGGGGUAGAAGAAAGGGGACGGUUUCUUUUUGUGGUUUUGGAAGAGGAUGGAAUUUCAGAAGGAGGAGGCUUUUUCUGAGGGGGAUGGUUAGAAGGAUCAGCAUGGUAAAUAUCAUGAAUGAGCUUCGCAAACUGUUCUUCAGUUUUGGGUAUUUUGAGAGACUCUUUAGGUUUCUUCUGUUUCUUUGCUUUCUUAGAAUCAGGUCCUUCUUUUGUGGCCUUUCUCUUCAGCUUCUUCUCUUUCUUCUUCUUUUCCUUCUUUCUUAACUCAUCCAGAGAUGGAAGAGUCCUUCCACGAAUCCAAGCAGGAUCAACAGAAGUUUGAGCUUUGACACACGACUUCAGAUAAUGUUUAACAGAUUUGUCUAGCUCCUCUUCAAACAUGUGAGAGAAACUCACAACAGGAGUUCUUCUAGUCAGAAUAUCUGGAAACAUUUUUGAAGGAGUGGUCACCUUUUCAAUCAGCUGCAUCCUUUUUAGAGUCUGAGCAUUCAGAAUAAUGAUCGGUCACCAUUUGUAUUGUGUUUUCAUCAAUCUCUCGGCGUAAAUCUUGUCAAUUCGGUAACACAAUUGUCUAUCUUUUAUAGUUUUCUUUCUUAUUUUGAAUGUUUCGUUUAAGUAGUGUGUUUUGUUUUGAUGUUAAGAUCUCAUGGUUUUUAAGAUGCUUUGAUGCUUGUUUCGGUAGUAAUUAUGUUUCAGGUUUAAGCGAUGAAGACCAUAAGAAGAAUCCAGAGCCAAACAAAUGCGAAUCGAAGUUGAAAAUGAAGAUUUGGCGCAUACAGUGGCCUGACACGGGUGCCAGUGUUACCUGACACGGCCCGUGUCAGGAAGCAGGAGAAAAUAUUGAAAGAGUGCAAAGCAGUGGUCUGACACGGGUACCCGUGUCACCUGACACGGCCCGUGUCAGGAAGUCUGGGGAAAAUAUUGAAAAACCACAUGGACAGAGGGCCAACACGGGUGUUGUCGCACGCUCGUGAAAUGAUGAAACAGAGUCGCCACCAAUAUAUUUAUCCCAAAGAGGGAAAGGAAUAUCAGAAAACCUAAGAUGAAUAAGAACGAGGUCUUUCGACCAGAGAUCAAGGUACGGGAGUCGGUUACGCAAGGGGAAGGUGCUAGCACCCCUCACGCCCAUCGUACUCGAUGGUAUCCACCUAUGUUUGUUUCUAUCUAAAGGGUGUAUAAAUCUAAAGCUUAAUUACUAAGGGAAUGCAUGCAAAUGAAAGAAAAGAAACACGGGGAAAAUAAGGUUUUAAAUAGUUGUGCUCGCUUAGGCCCCGCGACCCAAUGCCUACGUAUCCUUUUCAGGAAUCAGAGCGCCGUAGUUCGGCUCUUUAGUUUUUGUUUGUUUUUGUGUUUUUUAGUGGAUGAAGUUACAUUCGCACUCCGCUGCUCGACCUCUGGAGUCUUAAGCUGGGAAUGGAGCGGAAAUAACGUGUCCGAUUAAAGAAUGCCUCAGAGGCGAGAUAGAGAAAAGAGUUUGAGCGUUCAAGUGGCACCCUAAAGCAAGGGAGACUCGAGUUGCUCUUUGGUUUGUGUUUUUUAGAAAUUGGGAACUUACGCUCGAAUGGUUCCCUAAAGCAAGGGAGAUCCAAGCACUCGAAUGAUUCCCUAAAGCAAGGGAGAUUCAAGCUUCCAUUCCCUUUUUAAUGAUUUUCACUUUUUUAUUAAUGUUUUAUUAAGUGUUUUCUUUGUAUUUUUUAAAGGGAUUUUAUUUUGAUAUUUAUUAGAUGUUUUAAAGUUGAAAAGGAAAAGAAACUAGCCUAAGUAUGAAGGGAAUUUCUACCUAAUGUUAUCAUGGUUUCUACCUAAGGUUAGGGAUAAAAGAAUAUGAAAAUAAAGAUCACAAUUAGAAGUCAUAAGUAAGAUACAUGAGCAAAAUUGAGAAUGAUAUAAUGGUACCAAAUUAUACACAAGCAUGAAGCAACAAGCCAAAAAAAUAUAGUACAAAAGUGAAGUAAAAUACUACUAUUUUUAUAUUGAUUUUUAUGAGAGAAAUUGAAUUACAAGUCAAGUAAAAAGACUAAAAAACAAAUAGCCUAAGAACUAAUAUUUUUAUGUUUAUUUUUUAUAUGUCAAAAUUAUGUACUAAAGUCUAAAAUAAUAGGAGAAAAUUAGUGUUUUUACUACAAAAAAGAAAUGGCAAAAGAAACUAAUGGAAUUUAAAAUGAAAUGCAAACAGGGGGCGUGAACUGAGAAUAGAGGUGUGAUGAGCAAGGCACAGGGCCCAGUGGUUCUGGCCCAAACAGAGUUUUUGUAUAGUUUUUUUUGUUGGCACAAACAGAUGCAACAUGGGCUGAGCAAGGGGUGUAGAAUAGCAAUGGCCCAAGGUUUAUUGUUUGAUCCAAUUAUUAUUAUUAUUAUUAUUCAGAUUUUCGUUUCAAUAAAGAAUAAAUUAAAUUAAAACUAAGAAAAUAAAAAAAUGAGAAGAGGAAUUAGGGUUUUCAGAAUUCUGACCUUUGAGCUUACUUCUCCUCUUUUUCCCCUCUCUUCACAACGAAAAUCGGCGGCGGCAGCGUUAGCCUUCUCUGAUCGGAACAAACUCACCGCGCCGUCGUGAAAUUUCCGGCCACAUCCUCCUCUCAUCACAUCUCUUCGCAUUGCUCUCCUUCGCCUCCUACCUCUUUGUUCAUCUCCUUUUAUCAAACGGCGAAAUGAAUUCACCGCGACGGAGGACUCCAGUUCUUCUCUGAUUCCCCCUCUUCGAUGUGAUUGAAUAUGAAAUCCGGCGAAGCCUUUCGAGAAAUCAGAUGAAGAUGAUGACGCAAAGGUGAGGAAGAGAGCGAGGUUUAUGGAUGGUUAUUGAAGAUUGGAAGAGGAAGGUUAAAGAAGAUUAUGGAGAGCUUUGAUCAAUGGAGAUGAUGAAUGGUUCAGAGAGAGAGAGGGUUAUUUGAAGAUUGAAGAUUGAGAGAAGGUGAAGAUGAUGGGAAAAAUGGUGGAGUCCGAGAGAGUGAAGAUUGAAGAAUUGGUGGAGAGUUGAACUUUGAUGAAUGAUGAAGAUGGAAAUGGUGUGAAGUGGAGAGAGAGAGAUGAAGAAUGAAGAUAGAGUGAGGAUGAUGAAGAGUGAAGAGUUAUGAGGUGGCAACAAUGGAAAACAGAGUGAAAACCUGAAGAAUGAUGGAGGUCUUGGUUAUAUAGAGAUGAAGGAUCUUGAUUCUCUGAAGGUUUGUUCUCAAACUCUGAUCUUUUUUCUGUUAGGAGUCAGUUAGAUUGGUUAAAAGUUUGUUAGAUAAUUCUGUUUUGGUAGUUAGGUGGUUAUAGGUUAGUUACAAGGAUAGGAAAUUGUUAGUGUGGGUUCUGUUAAGAGGUAUGACAGUUAGGAAAAUGUUGAAUGGUUGUUAAUUCUGUUAGAGAAAAUAGAAAGGGGUUAGUUAGAGGGUUGUUAAGUUAGUUAUGAUGUUUAUGUAUGAUAUGAUGUGGCUGGGAGUUUUAUGCAACUAAUUGGUAAAUGAAUGAUUAGGCUGUUAGGAUGGGUUCCUGUUGGUUUAUGCAGGGCUGCUGGUUUGAAUUGAGUUAGACUUUGUAGGUGCUAAUUUGAAUGUAUGGAGCUGUUUGGUUUUUGGUCAGUUAGAAGUUUUGGUUUUGUUAUAUAGCUUGAAUUUGAAUGAAUGAUGAUUAGUAAGAAGUGAUGAAUUGAAUUUGAAUAUAUGACUUGAUAAUAUAAUCUCCUUGGAUUGAUAUGCACUUGAU